GGGCCUAUAGCUCAGUUGGUUAGAGCAACGGACUCAUAAUCCGUCGGUCCUAGGUUCAAGUCCUAGUGGGCCCA
rnacentral:tRNA from 1 species